UACAGGGGGGGCAAGCGUUGUUCGGAAUUACUGGGCGUAAAGGGCCAGUAGGCGGCCAACUAAGUCACACGUGAAAUCCCCAGGCUUAACCUGGGAACUGCGUGUGAUACUGGAUGGCUUGAAUUCGGGAGAGGGAUGCAGAAUUCCGAGGUGUAGCGGUGAAAUGCGUAGAUAUCUGGAGGAAUACCGGUGGCGAAGGCGGCAUCCUGGACCGACAUUGACGCUGAACGGCGAAAGCUAGGGGAGCGAAACAGGG
rnacentral:rRNA from 1 species